UGGGGAAUAUUGGGCAAUGGGGGAAACCCUGACCCAGCAACGCCGCGUGAGGGAAGAAGGUUUUCGGAUUGUAAACCUCUGUCUUUGGUGAAGAAGAAAGUGACGGUAGCCAAAGAGGAAGCCCCGGCUAACUACGUGCCAGCAGCCGCGGUAAUACGUAGGGGGCGAGCGUUGUCCGGAAUGACUGGGCGUAAAGGGCGCGUAGGCGGCUUUAUAAGUCUGGAGUGAAAGUCCUGCUUUCAAGGUGGGAAUUGCUUUGGAGACUGUAGAGCUUGAGUGCAGAAGAGGUAAGUGGAAUUCCCAGUGUAGCGGUGAAAUGCGUAGAGAUUGGGAGGAACACCAGUGGCGAAGGCGACUUACUGGGCUGUAACUGACGCUGAGGCGCGAAAGCGUGGGGAGCGAACA
rnacentral:rRNA from 1 species